UUUCCGUAGGUGAACCUGCGGAAGGAUCAUUAAAACGUCCAAAAACGUACACCAUUAAACCGGUUGUUGGGCUGAAAAGUCCCUUCUCAAAUAGCAAUAGGCGCGAAUGCACUUGGGUGUGUUUGCGUUGAGUUGGGACCCUCAAUCGCCUUUGGAGCCUGACGACUGGUUUUCCUAUUGAUUCAUUUUACCAUUGUGUCUUGUCUAACUACCUGAAAAACAUAACAAACGAACAAUUCUUAGCAACGGAUAUCUUGGCUCUC
rnacentral:misc_RNA from 1 species